CAGCUGCCUCCCUGAGGCCUGGCCAUGGGGGAGGGGGUGGAGCAAGGUCUGCCUUUAUGGCUGCCUCCCCACAGACACAGUGGCAGAGGAGUCCCCCUGCUCAGCACCCAGCUGUGGGCUCUGCACCCUGGCACCUCCCUCACCCCCGUGGCUGCGCCCAGGUCCCUGGAGCGGAAACAGCCUUGUGCCAUCCCAUAGGGAAGGCGUCCCGUCCCACCCACCCCCAUGGCCCUCCUCUCAAGAGCCUCAGCUGGGCCUCCAGCCUCCCUGGCAAUGACGUCAGGAGGCGGGGCCUGUGAGGGAUGACGAGGUCAUGAGGCUGCCACUCUCCUGAGGGGGUCAACGUCCUUCCACAAGAGGCUCCAGGGAGGUCCCUUGUCCCUUCCACCACGUGAGGACCUGAGAUGGUGCUGUCUAUAAACCAGGAAGUGAGUCCUCUCUGAACACGGACCGAGCUGGUGCCUUGAUCUUGAACUUGCAGCCUCGAGAGUGCAUGCGAGUGCAGCGCCACCUCUGAGCUGCUGCUCUGGGCUCACUGCCUAUGGGGAGACCUGCCUCACAAGGAGGGGCCCCUGUGCUGCUGCUAUGCACGGCUGCUUCAAUAAAAGCUCCUG